UAAAUGUUAAUCGAAUCGUAUGUGAUUACCAUUCUGAAUCGAAACACGAUUAACAACGCAUAAUUGUAUAAAUAUUCAAUUAAAUGAUAAAUUUAAUUUAUAUUUCAAAGGUUUCACGCAUUUGAUAUAGGCAACCAAAAUAUCAUACGUAUAGAACAUACGUAUAAAAAGCCUAAUAUCAAUCGAUGACAAAGUUAGGCGCGUGAUUCGUUGCAAUCAACUUACUUUCGAAUGUUUCGAUUUCCAACAAAAAAUAAAAUAAAAUAAACCUGGCAACAUAUAGCAUAUAUUCAUAUACGAUCGAAAGAAAACAUUGUCGAUCGAAACAACGAUUUAUAGAUGUACUUAUCUAUCAUAGUCACCAUUACACAUCGAUAAUAACGGUAUGAAUAUAAGAAGAAUAAUAUUCCGCGCUAUGACAUCAUUUACAUUCGCCUGUAAUACUUAACCAUGCUGUAAUACGUAAUCAAGACGAGACAGAGAAGGGUUGAGGAGAGAGAGGAACGAAAUCAAACGGAAAGCAUGAAAACGCACGAGCAGAUAGCCUUGGCCCAUACCUUUGCCCGUGUGUCGGCCACCGUACCCACUGGUUACCCUGGAAACGGUAUCGAUUUCAACCCUCAGCUAUGCAGUAGAAACCAGCGGCACACCAUGGGGGUCUCUUCAUCCCGAGUUUCGACAAGACAGCCCGUUUAAACUACCCGAUUACACCAACCUCCAUCUCUAUUACCGUCUUACAUUUCGUUUCGCGUACUUCACAAAUUCAGUUCUUCGAAUGAUAUUUGAGGUUAAGGGACACCGUGAAAUUAACGGCGAAAUUUGGAACUAUUACGAACUACUUUUUUGAUUCAAUGAUUUCCGCUUUUGUAGAGGCUAAUUCAGCGCAUUUACUUAUAUUAAUAUAAAAUCCUCUUUAUUAUACGAAAGAUAUAUGUUUAUAGAAGAA